UAGUAUUAGGUCUUCAAUAAGAGGGAAU
rnacentral:piRNA from 1 species